rnacentral:rRNA from 1 species
UGCUCGAGUGGCGAACGGGUGAGUAACACGUGAGUAACCUGCCCUUGACUUUGGGAUAACUUCAGGAAACUGGGGCUAAUACCGGAUAGGAGCUCCUGCUGCAUGGUGGGGGUUGGAAAGUUUCGGCGGUUGGGGAUGGACUCGCGGCUUAUCAGCUUGUUGGUGGGGUAGUGGCUUACCAAGGCUUUGACGGGCAGCCGGCCUGAGAGGGUGACCGGCCACAUUGGGACUGAGAUACGGCCCAG